UCUCUCUCUCUCUCUCUUCUCCACUAGUCCGUCCGGUCCUUUAUUUCACCUCACUCAUCUUCUCAGUUCAUUCCAUGGAGAGCUUCGUUCCUAUCAUCAUCAAAAGAUCAUCCUAGCUACUAGCUACCUGCUAGGUUUUAUUUGCUUGAGCUGCUGCUGCUGCUUAUUAUUCAUUCCCCGGCCGGCCGGCCUUAUAUAUACUUAGCUAUAGCUAUCUUGCUUGCCCAGAUCGAUCCAUAUAUGUAGCCAAUUAGCUAGAGCUAGCUAGCGCCCUCAGCUCAAGUCAGCUCACUCCCCUCUUGAGCUGAGGUACGGUGUCCAUCACAAUCUUCUCUAGAUCGAUACAGGUGAGGUAGCUAGAUAGAUCAACAACAAUCCUCUCGACAUCCCCUUGUUCUUGUUCAAUUCGGCGGCGGCGGCGGUGGCGGCGGCGAUACUGAGGUCGAAAGGCAGAUAGAUAGAUAGAUAGAUAGAUAGAUGGUGUGUAGGUUCUUGUUUCUUCGAUUGAUUUUCUUCCCAGCAUAUCUAUUUCUCUCCAUUCCCCUCCCUUGUUUUUGAUAUAUAUAGAGGUAGUAGUAUAUGCACAUCUCUCUCAACCUCAUCUAUAUCAUGCAUAUAUAUCCAUGCUUGCACCUAGCUGUUUAAUUUGAUGCAUGCAUGGUGCUCUAGUCCUCUUCUUCAUUCAUUUAUAUUUUUUUUUUGAAAGAACCGGCCGGUAUAGUUAAGAACAACGAGUUAUAUAUAAAAUUACAUGCAUCAGUUCAGCUCCUCUUCCUGUAUUCGUAGUCGUCGUCUCGGUACCCUCCUCUCUUUCCUCUUGCUGAUGCAUACACGGGGUUCAGAUAGUAGCUAUUAUUAGAUGCAAAUUACCCUCCUCUCUUUUCUCUUGCUGAUGCAUAUACACGGGGUUCAGAUAGUAGCUAUUAUUAGAUGCAAAAUAUAUGGAUCACCUUAGCUUCGUCUUGCCGGAUCUCAUUGGAGAUCGAAGCCGCAUGCAGAAGCUAGCUGCCAUAUAUGGAUUGUAUUGUAUAUGAAUGAAGCAACAAGCAGGAAAGCAAGCAAGCAAGCAAACAGUGGGUGCUUGCAGGUGCAGCACCAUCAAGAUUCACAUGGUCCAACUCAUGCAUCUUCAGUGAUGCUCAUGUGAUGGCUCGCAGUUGCUAUAUAUGCAUAUGUGAUGAGAUGAGAAUCUUGAUGAUGCUGCAUCAGCAGACACUCACUCAUCACCCGGCCCCCAAUGCAAGAGUGAGAGACGAAUGAAUCAGUUAGCUGGGCUGGCCUGCAGGCUACCUGCAUCUGCAUGCAGCAGAUAGCAGCCUAUGGCCCAUGAUAUAUAUGUGAAAGGAAUAAUAUGAUGGAUAUACUAGCAGGUGUACCAGCAGCAAAAGAGCAAGAAGGGAAUGAAGAGCAUAUGUGAACAUGAAUGAAGAAGAGCAUAUAAGAACAUGAUGAUACAGAGCAGCAGCAUCCAUCUCAUAUCAUUGCAAACAUGAGCAGUGGUAGUUCAUGAUGAAGGAAGGAACCAGAACCACCAGUGCUAGAUGAAUGGAUCGAAGAUAGAUAGAUAGAUGCAGAUCGAUGGAGGCAGCAGGCCGGGGCCGCCGGGUACCUACGUAGUACAUUGCUAUUAUUGUGCCCAAGGAAGGGGACCAAAAUAUAUAAUGACAAUAUGACAUUGCACACGACACCAGAGCUGGUGAGCUGCAUGCUGGCUGGGGCAGCAGAGCCUGUGGUGAUGGUACAAUCCAACGUACUGCUGUCGUCCCAAGUUGAAAGGUAAAAAAAUUUCAGGGAACUUUACUCUUGCUGCCUUUCUUCAGGCUGCAAAACUGCAGGCCUACUGUGAGUCUGUAGUGUGCUUGUUCUCUUGCUUUAGUGGUGUAGAUCUUCUAUUUGCUAGUUUCAGUUCACAUUACAUCUAUGAACUAUGAUCCAUAUGCAUAUCUAUAAAGCCUGCAAAUUAGAUUGCCACAGAGACCCACAGUGUGUGAUGGUCCACCCACUAGGCCACUACCUUAUGCAUGCCUUAUUAUAUAUAUAGGCAAACAAAUAAUACAAUGUGAAGGCCUUAUAUUAUUUGGGUGUUUCGAGUGGGUGGAUUCUAAGUGUGGUUUAUGUUGAACUUUGUUUUCUUUUAGAUGAUGGAAUGAACGAACUUAUUCUGCCUCUACAUCCACAAGAUAUGAUGUAUGGCCGUCCAUUAUUAUUGUUACAAAGUUUCAGCAUCUCCUAGCUAAGCCCACUGUUUUUUUCUUGGGCGAAAGAAGCUAGACCACAGUUCUAAAAUACAGCAUUACAGCACACACUUCACACACACACACACACACACACACACACACACACACACACACACACACACACACACACUAUGACGCUUUAAACUAGGAACUGCAUGCGAACAGACUAUGAUGCUUUUUUAUUUUUUGAUAACUACGAAGUGUGAUGAUGAAAUAAAGAACUGCAAUGGAACUCAGCAUGAAUUAAUCAACCCUGCAUGUAGCAUUUCAGGGAACAGUAGUAUCUGCAGUCUUCAAGUUAAGAGAGCUACAGCUAUGGCCUUUAAGUUGUACAUACUGUCAGGGCAUUUACAUGAAUUCAGUUUGCAGCUAGCUAGUUCCAAACAUACAUUAUGCAUGCUUCAUGGGUGCUUCAGAGAAGAAGCCCGCAGUGCUAUUAGGUAGUCUAGUGCUGCAUAGAUAUAAACUGUGGAGCUUGUUUUCACCGCGCGCGACAAAUGGAGAACUGAAUCGAUUCAGUGCCGGCCAGUACUGUCUAAAAACCUGUCUGCCAUUGUUUGUGCAAACAUGAGUAGGUACAUGCUGCAUGCCUGCAAACCUGUAACAACAUGGUCUCAUUGGCCGGCAAGCCAUAUACUUGCAUUAUAUUGGUAGCUACUUCUUUCAUUCAUCAUAUCACAUAUGGAACUGAAGCUGGUGACCAGGUACGUACGUACUGAAGCUGGCCGCUGAUGGAGUUGUCUCUCUGAUGAAAACUUUAUUGUUCUUCAGGUUACAUGACGUCUAGCUCUCGCCCACAUAUAUGUAAAUGUUAUUUAUGCACAUUUACUUAUCAUC